AGGGUUUGAUCCUGGCUCAGAUUGAACGCUGGCGGCAGGCUUAACACAUGCAAGUCGAGCGGAAACGAUGAUAGCUUGCUAUCAGGCGUCGAGCGGCGGACGGGUGAGUAAUACUUAGGAAUCUACCUAGUAGUGGGGGAUAGCUCGGGGAAACUCGAAUUAAUACCGCAUACGUCCUACGGGAGAAAGCAGGGGAUCAUUAGACCUUGCGCUAUUAGAUGAGCCUAAGUCGGAUUAGCUAGAUGGUGGGGUAAAGGCCUACCAUGGCGACGAUCUGUAGCUGGUCUGAGAGGAUGAUCAGCCACACCGGGACUGAGACACGGCCCGGACUCCUACGGGAGGCAGCAGUGGGGAAUAUUGGACAAUGGGGGGAACCCUGAUCCAGCCAUGCCGCGUGUGUGAAGAAGGCCUUUUGGUUGUAAAGCACUUUAAGCAGUGAAGAAGACUCUUCGGUUAAUACCCGGGGACGAUGACAUUAGCUGCAGAAUAAGCACCGGCUAACUCUGUGCCAGCAGCCGCGGUAAUACAGAGGGUGCAAGCGUUAAUCGGAAUUACUGGGCGUAAAGCGAGCGUAGGUGGCUUGAUAAGUCAGAUGUGAAAUCCCCGGGCUUAACCUGGGAACUGCAUCUGAAACUGUUAGGCUAGAGUAGGUGAGAGGGAAGUAGAAUUUCAGGUGUAGCGGUGAAAUGCGUAGAGAUCUGAAGGAAUACCGAUGGCGAAGGCAGCUUCCUGGCAUCAUACUGACACUGAGGCUCGAAAGCGUGGGUAGCAAACAGGAUUAGAUACCCUGGUAGUCCACGCCGUAAACGAUGUCUACUAGUCGUUGGGUCCCUUGAGGACUUAGUGACGCAGCUAACGCAAUAAGUAGACCGCCUGGGGAGUACGGCCGCAAGGUUA
rnacentral:rRNA from 1 species